GAGCGGCGCGUGCAGGCGAGGAGUCAGCGCGCGCCGCCGCCGCAUCACCGCUCCGGCUCCGCGAUGACAAAAGUUCAAACUCGUCAUCGUGCAGCGGCGGUAAAGAAAAC